AUUGUUUCAUAUUGUAUUGUAUUUUAUUGUAUCAUACUGUACUGUUUAAUGAAUACAAUGUUUGGAUAAAUU